UGGGGAAUUUUGGACAAUGGGGGAAACCCUGAUCCAGCCAUCCCGCGUGUGCGAUGAAGGCCUUCGGGUUGUAAAGCACUUUUGGCAGGAAAGAAACGUCAUGGGUUAAUACCCCGUGAAACUGACGGUACCUGCAGAAUAAGCACCGGCUAACUACGUGCCAGCAGCCGCGGUAAUACGUAGGGUGCAAGCGUUAAUCGGAAUUACUGGGCGUAAAGCGUGCGCAGGCGGUUCGGAAAGAAAGAUGUGAAAUCCCAGAGCUCAACUUUGGAACUGCAUUUUUAACUACCGGGCUAGAGUGUGUCAGAGGGAGAUGGAAUUCCGCGUGUAGCAGUGAAAUGCGUAGAUAUGCGGAGGAACACCGAUGGCGAAGUCAGCCUCCUGGGAUAACACUGACGCUCAUGCACGAAAGCGUGGGGAGCAAACAGG
rnacentral:rRNA from 1 species